rnacentral:snRNA from 1 species
GUUCUCGCUUUGGCAGCACAUAUACUAAAAUUGGAACGAUACAGAGAAGAUCAGCACGGCCCCUGUGCAAGGAUGACACGCAAAUUCAUGAAGCGUUCCAUAUUUAA